rnacentral:rRNA from 1 species
CGGGGUGCAGCAGGCGCGAAAACUUUACAAUGCUGGCAACAGCGAUAAGGGGACCUCGAGUGCCAGGAUACAAUCCUGGCUGUCGUAAUGCCUAAAAAGCAUUGCAUAGCAAGGGCCGGGCAAGACCGGUGCCAGCCGCCGCGGUAACACCGGCGGCUCGAGUGGUAACCGCUAUUAUUGGGUCUAAAGGGUCUGUAGCCGGCUGACUAAGUCUCUUGGGAAAUCUGGCAGCUCAACUGUCAGGCUUUCAGGAGAUACUGAUCGGCUCGAGACCGGGAGAGGUGAGAGGUACCUCAGGGGUAGGGGUGAAAUCUUGUAAUCCUUGAGGGACCACCAGUGGCGAAGGCGUCUCACCAGAACGGAUCUGACGGCAAGGGACGAAAGCUAGGGGCACGAACCGGAUUAGAUACCCGGGUAGUCCUAGCCGUAAACGAUACUCGCUAGGUGUCGGCCACGGUGCGACCGUGGUCGGUGCCGUAGGGAAGCCGUGAAGCGAGCCACCUGGGAAGUACGGCCGCAAGGCUGAAACUUAAAGGAAUUGGCGGGGGAGCACAAG